GGGUUACCGAAUUCAGACAAACUCCGAAUGCCAAUUAAUUUAACUUGGGAGUCAGAACAUGGGUGAUAAGGUCCGUGUUCGAAAGGGAAACAGCCCAGACCACCAGCUAAGGUCCCAAAAUAUAUGUUAAGUGGAAAAGGAUGUGGCGUUGCCCAGACAACUAGGAUGUUGGCUUAGAAGCAGCCAUCAUUUAAAGAGUGCGUAAUAGCUCACUAGUCGAGUGACACUGCGCCGAAAAUGUACCGGGGCUAAACAUAUUACCGAAGCUGUGGAUUGUCCUUUGGACAAUGGUAGGAGAGCGUUCUAAGGGCGUUGAAGCAUGAUCGUAAGGACAUGUGGAGCGCUUAGAAGUGAGAAUGCCGGUGUGAGUAGCGAAAGACGGGUGAGAAUCCCGUCCACCGAUUGACUAAGGUUUCCAGAGGAAGGCUCGUCCGCUCUGGGUUAGUCGGGUCCUAAGCUGAGGCCGACAGGCGUAGGCGAUGGAUAACAGGUUGAUAUUCCUGUACCACCUAUAAUCGUUUUAAUCGAUGGGGGGACGCAGUAGGAUAGGCGAAGCGUGCGAUUGGAUUGCACGUCUAAGCAGUAAGGCUGAGUAUUAGGCAAAUCCGGUACUCGUUAAGGCUGAGC
rnacentral:rRNA from 1 species